rnacentral:rRNA from 1 species
UUCCGGUUGAUCCCGCCGGAGGCCACCGCUAUUGGAAUCCGCUUUAACCAUGCGAGUCGAGAGGGUUCGGCCCUCGGCGGACCGCUCAGUAACACGCGGACAACCUGCCCUAUGGUGGGGGAUAAGCUCGGGAAACUGAGUAUAAUACCCCAUAGGCCAUCUGUGCUGGAAUGCUUGAUGGCUGAAAGCCCCGGCGCCGUAGGAUGGGUCUGCGGCCUAUCAGGUCGUGGUUGGUGUAACGGACCAACUAGCCUUCGACGGGUACGGGCCUUGAGAGAGGUCGCCCGGAGAUGGACUCUGAGACAUGAGUCCAGGCCCUACGGGGCGCAGCAGGUGCGAAAACUUCGCAAUGUGGGAAACCACGACGAGGGGAUUCCAAGUGCUUGCACAAUGUGUAGGCUGUUUUCCUGUCUAAAAAACAGGGAGAGUAAGGGCUGGGUAAGACGGGUGCCAGCCGCCGCGGUAAUACCCGCAGCCCGAGUGGUGGUCGCUAUUAUUGGGCCUAAAACGUCCGUAGCCGGCCCGGUAAAUUCUUGGGGAAAUCGGUGGGCUUAACUCACCGAAGUCCGAGGAGACUGCCGGGCUUGGGACUGGGUGAGGUCAGAGGUACUUCAGGGGUAGGGGUAAAAUCCUGUAAUCCUUGAAGGACCACCAGUGGCGAAGGCGUCUGACUAGAACGGAUCCGACGGUAAGGGACGAAGCCCUGGGGCACAAACGGGAUUAGAUACCCCGGUAGUCCAGGGUGUAAACGCUGUGGGCUUGGUGUUGGGAGUCCCACGAGGGCGCCCAGUGCCGGAGAGAAGUUGUUAAGCCUACUGCCUGGGGAGUACGCUCGCAAGAGUGAAACUUAAAGGAAUUGGCGGGGGAGCACCGCAACGGGUGGAGCGUGCGGUUUAAUUGGAGUCAACGCCGGG